AGAGUUUGAUCCUGGCUCAGGACGAACGCUGGCGGCGUGCCUAAUACAUGCAAGUAGAACGCUGAAGAGAGGAGCUUGCUCUUCUUGGAUGAGUUGCGAACGGGUGAGUAACGCGUAGGUAACCUGCCUUGUAGCGGGGGAUAACUAUUGGAAACGAUAGCUAAUACCGCAUAACAAUGGAUGACGCAUGUCAUUUAUUUGAAAGGGGCAAUUGCUCCACUACAAGAUGGACCUGCGUUGUAUUAGCUAGUAGGUGAGGUAACGGCUCACCUAGGCGACGAUACAUAGCCGACCUGAGAGGGUGAUCGGCCACACUGGGACUGAGACACGGCCCAGACUCCUACGGGAGGCAGCAGUAGGGAAUCUUCGGCAAUGGGGGCAACCCUGACCGAGCAACGCCGCGUGAGUGAAGAAGGUUUUCGGAUCGUAAAGCUCUGUUGUAAGUCAAGAACGAGUGUGAGAGUGGAAAGUUCACACUGUGACGGUAGCUUACCAGAAAGGGACGGCUAACUACGUGCCAGCAGCCGCGGU
rnacentral:rRNA from 1 species